GCAACCUAUGCAACCACCAAUUGAGUCCACAGGAUCUAGAUCUAACGUCUAAGUUUUUUUUUAUUUAAACCCCUCUACCUGUGGGUUUAAAUCUAACGCAUGUGUAUCCAGAUGGGAGGGUUUAAGUGAAAAAAAACCUCAGACGUUAGAUCUAGAUCCUGUGGUAUUAAUUAGUGGUUGCAUAGGUUGC
rnacentral:pre_miRNA from 1 species